UACGAAGGGGGCUAGCGUUGUUCGGAAUUACUGGGCGUAAAGCGCGCGCAGGCGGUUUCUCAAGUCAGGGGUGAAAGCCCAGAGCUCAACUCUGGAACUGCCUUUGAGACUGAGAGGCUUGAGUACGGGAGAGGUGAGUGGAAUUCCCAGUGUAGAGGUGAAAUUCGUAGAUAUUGGGAAGAACACCGGUGGCGAAGGCGGCUCACUGGCCCGUAACUGACGCUCAUGCACGACAGCGUGGGGAUAAAACAGG
rnacentral:rRNA from 1 species